rnacentral:rRNA from 1 species
UACGUAGGGUGCAAGCGUUGUCCGGAAUUAUUGGGCGUAAAGAGCUCGUAGGCGGUUUGUCGCGUCGGCUGUGAAAUCCCGAGGCUCAACCUCGGGCCUGCAGUCGAUACGGGCAAACUAGAGUGCGGUAGGGGAGACUGGAAUUCCUGGUGUAGCGGUGAAAUGCGCAGAUAUCAGGAGGAACACCGGUGGCGAAGGCGGGUCUCUGGGCCGUAACUGACGCUGAGGAGCGAAAGCGUGGGGAGCGAACAGG